rnacentral:lncRNA from 1 species
UGAGCAAGAUCAAGAAAUUGUGCUGGUUUGAAGGUCGAUGAAGGAUUCUUUUGAUCCUUAGGAUUUGGAUCAGCCCUCGUGCAUUGCAUUCCAACCUAAUAUUGACAGAACUUGUAUGUUAUCUCCUCAGUUGCUCAAUAUGCUUCCCCACUUCAAUGGAGAAUCUCUAAAAGAAGAUCCUUAUGCACACAUUCAAGAGUUCUUCAACAUAUGUAAAACGCAGCACAUUAAGGGACUUAGUGCCGAUGAGAUUAAAUUGCUUUUAUUCCCUUUUUCUUUAAAAUGAGAUGCCAAAAAGUGAUUGCGUUCAUUACCUGCAAAUUCCAUCACUGCUUGGGGACAAUUGGCUAAAAAGCUCAUAAAGAAGGUUUUCCCUGCACACAAGAAAAAACAAUUGAAAAGAGAGAUUCAAUCCUUCGUUCAAAGAGAUGGCGACUCAUUCCAUGUGGUGUGGGAUCAAUUUAAUAAGUUGCUUGUCAAUUGUCCUAAUCAUAAUCUGCCCGGAUGAACAGGUACAAGCAUUUUAUGAGGGAUUAAAUGAUUCGAAUAAAGCCAUUGUGGAUUCCGCUUGUAAUGGUAUGUUAAUGAAGAUGAGUGACGAGGAAACGAUAGAAAUGUGUGAGGAACUUGUAGAGAACUCGCAACAAUUUAAUACAAAGGGACGUCAGGCUAAAAGAGGUGCAUAUGCAGUAAAUGCUAAUGAUGGUAUGCAAGUUGAGAUGGCUGCCAUGAACAGAAAUAUUGCAGCACUAAUCAAGACCUUAUCGCCUCAAAGUUCUCAACAAGCUCUCAAGUUUGAUGUAUGUGCAAUCUGUUCAGAAAAUGAUCAUGCUACAAAUACUUGUCCGAUAACUUCUUUUUCAAUAAAGAGCAAGUCAAUUUUGUUGGACAAGGAGGAUAUUCUUCGAAGCACAAUCCAUACUCAAAUACAUAUAAUUCGGGAUGGCAGGGUCACCCUAAUUUCAGUUAUGCAAAUCAGCGAAAUGUAUUGAAUCCUUCACAAGGGAACACACAACUUCAAGGGAUUGCUCCAGGAUUCUCUGAACUUAAGAAAACGUCUUUGGAGGAUAGCAUAGCUGUACUUGCACAAAGUCAGCUUGCGUUUCAAUAAAGUACCCAAGCUUUCCAGCAACAAACACAAGCUGCUAUUCAAACUACUCAAGCUUCGCUUUAGAAAUUGGAAAUUCAAGUGGGACAGCUUGCUAGUGCAGUAAAUGAAAGACAGAAACGCGAAUUUCCAAGUCAACCCAUAGCUAAUCCGAAAGGUGCAUAUGAGAUUAGCUCUAGUUACCCGUCGCAUGAGCAAGUCAAGUCUAUCACCAUACUCAAGAGUGGCACACAAGUAGAUAAUAAAGUUCAAAUGGCGAAUGGGGACCGAGAGACCAACCUGAAAAAGAAUGAAGCGGGUGCAUGUAAAGGGUAAAAAUGCUCAAGUAAACAGUUCAAAGUCCCUUAAUUUAUCAAAGUUUGAUCCCUUUGCAGCUUAUAAGGACAAGCCUCCUUUUCCUCAAGCUUUGAUCAGGCCAAAGAAGGAUAAUCAUUUCAGUGAGAUCAUGGAAUUGUUCAAAAAGGUCCAUAUCAAUAUUCCACUACUUGAGGCUAUCAGGCAAAUCCCUUCUGUUGGUAUAUGGUCCAGCCCAUGAUCAAUGUUCUAGAUUAUUCUAGUAAGCAAGAGAGAUGGCUGGAGCAUGCUAGACAAUUCUAGCAUGUUAUUAAGUUGAUGGAAGAAGCUAGAGAGUACUAGCUUCCUUGGUUGCAAAUGGAAAGAUCUAGAAGCCACACUUUUGUGGCUAGUCUAGAUCUUUCUAUGCUAGAGGUUUGAAGAAUACACUAGAAACUAGUAGAAUGCCAAACCCUCACCUAUAAAUAUGGGUGUGAUGUUGUAGUGAACCAACAAAUCAAGAGAAAGAGUGAGUAGCAAAGGAUCAAGUCCAAAGCUAGAGUUCCACUCCAAGAGUGAGAGUGAGAGUGUUCCACUACACAUUGUGUGAGUGAAGUUUAGAGUGAUAGAAAGUGUGUGUUUAUACUUUCUUGUAUCCAUCAAGCCUUGUCUUUGGCUUGGUAAGACUACUCUUGUUGUAUUCAUCUUUUUUCAUAUAGUGAAGAUUCCUUGUUUGGUGGACGUAGGCAUAAAUUGCCGAACCACAUAAAUUCUUGGCGUCCAUUUUCUACUUUACCUUGUGCAUUCUCUAUCUUGUAGUACCGACAUUCCUAAUAAGUGGUAUCAGAGCCCGGUUGGCUCGUACUACGAGAUGGAAGGAAGUGGCACUAUGAUCAAACUCACCAACUCCAAUUGGGUAACAUGGAAGCCAAGGAUGGAGGACAUUCUCUAUUGCAAGGAUUUGCAUGAGCCAAUUGAAGGAGAUGCCGCUAAGCCCGAGAGCAUGUCCGAUGCCGAGUGGAAGAAGAUGAAUCGCAAGGCUAUUGGCACAAUUAGACAAUGGGUGGAUGAUAGUGUUUUUCACCAUGUGUCUAAUGAAACCAAUGCUCGCGAGUUUUGGACGAAGCUUGAGUCCUUGUUCAAGAAGAAGACCCCAGCCAAGAAAGCCUUCUUGAUCAAAGAGCUCAUCAAUGUGAAGUACAAGGAUGGUUUAAGUGUAGCAGAACACUUGAACAAUUUCCAGAAUAUCAUCAACCAGUUGGCUACUAUGAAAAAUGACGAUCGAGGACGAGCUACAAGCGCUCUUGUUACUUGGAUCCUUGCCAGACAGUUGGGAGACCUUUGUGGUGAGUAUAAGUAACUCUGCUUCUAAUGGUGUUCUUACUCUUGAUAAUGUUAAAAAUAGCAUGCUCAAUGAAGAAACAAGGAGAAAGACUUCUGGCACAGAUAGCAGCCAAGUAUUUUGUCACAGAGAACCGCGGAAGAAGCAAGAGUAGAGGGCCUAGAGGUCAUGGCAGGAGUCCUAGCCGAUCCAAGUCAAGGUUCAGGGGUGCAUGCCACCAUUGUGGCAAAGAAGGCCAUAUGAAGAAAAAUUGUCGAGUUUGGAAGAGAGAGCAAAGGGAAGGAAACAAUCAGAAGAAAGAUGAUACUGGCAAUACCACUGCUGUCAUAUGUGGUGAUGUACCAGAAAUAUUGUCUGUUAGUGAAUGUCUGCAUAUGGGCAACUCUGACAGAGACAUUGAAUGGAUCUUUGACAAUGGAGCUUCCUUCCAUGCUACGUCCAAACGGGAGUUCUUCAGUACAUACAAAGAAGGUGACUUUGGCAUAGUGAAGAUGGGGAAUGAAAGCUAUUCCAAAAUUCUUGGAAUUGGUGAUAUCUGCUUAAGAACUAAUCUCGGCUGCCAAUUGAUGUUGAAAGAUGUGAGACAUAUUCCUGAUAUACGUCUCAAUCUGAUAUCCAUCGGUACCCUUGAUCGACAAGGAUAUUAUCACCAUAUUGGCGAAGGAAAAUUGAAGCUUACUAAAGGCUUAAUGGUGGUAGCAAGAGCACGACUUUGUUGUACGUUUGUACCGGUCAAAUGCCAAGGUUUUGAAAGGUGAGUUGAAUGCUGUGGAAGACUCAUCUCUAGACUUGUGGCAUAAGAGGCUAGGCCACAUGAGCGAGAAAGGCCUACAAGUUUUGGCAAAGAAGUCUCAUAUUCCCUUUGCCAAAGGUACGUCGUUAAACUCUUGUGAGCAUUGUUUAUUCGGAAAACAAAGAAGAGUUAGUUUUUCUGUUCCAUCUACAAAGAAAGGAAACUUGUUAGAUCUUGUUUAUUCAGAUGUGUGUGGUCCCAUGGAAGUCGAGUCACUUGGAAGAAAUAAAUAUUUUGUUACUUAUAUUGAUGAUGCUUCACGAAGGGUGUGGGUGUAUUUGUUGAAAUCCAAAGACCAGGUGUUUCAGACAUUCCAGGAGUUCCAUGCCAUGGUGGAGAGGGAAACUGGGAAACCUCUCAAGUGCCUUCGUAGCGACAACGGCGGCGAGUACACAUCUCACCAGUUUAGAGAGUAUUGUGUAAAACAUGGCAUACGUCAUGAGAAGACAGUUCCUGGAACUCCACAACAUAACGGUGUUGCUGAAAGAAUGAACCGAACCAUCAUGGAGAAAGUCAGGUGUAUGUUGAGGACUGCAAAGUUAUCUAAGCAGUUCUGGGGUGAAGCUGUAAGGACAGCCUGCUAUUUGAUCAACCGAUCUCCAUCAGUACCAUUAGGUCUUGAUGUUCCAGAGAGAGUAUGGACUGGUAAUGAUGUGUCUUACUCUCAUCUGAAGGUGUUUGGUUGCAAAGCUUUUGUGCAUGUGCCCAAAGAGCAGAGAUCGAAGUUAGACUACAAAGCUACACCGUGCAUCUUUCUUGGUUAUGGCGGUGAAGAUUUUGGUUACAGAUUAUGGGACCCAUACCAGAAGAAGUUUAUCCGAAGUAGAGACGUGGUCUUUUAUGAAGAUCAAACAAUUGGGGAUUCGGAUAAAGAGGCACAACCAGAUGGCGCAGUCAGAGGAGUUGAUCCAUUAGCUUCAGAUGAAGAAAGUCACGAUGACAUCCCUGAAGCAACUGCCAAUGAAGUGCCUGCAGAAUCAGAUAAUGCUGAUCAAGAGGAGCCUGAUCAAGAUGUGCCAGACCAUGAGAUUGCUGAUCAGGGGGAGCCUAGUCAAGAAGAGCAGAUUCAAGGAGAAUCCAAUCAGGGGGAGCCUCUAGCCCCGCAAGAGAAUGAAUAUCAGGUCAGAAGAUCCAGCAGAAGUCGAAGACCGUCUACCAAGUAUUCUUCAUCAGAGUAUAUCAUGUUGACUAAUUAUGGAGAGCCCGAAACUUAUGAGGAGGCCAGAGCUCAUAACGACAGUGAUAAAUGGAUGAAGGCAAUGGAGUCAGAGAUGGAUUCCUUAUUAAAGAAUAAUACCUAUGAGCUGGUGGAGCUUCCAAAGGGCAGGAAAGCAUUGAAAAACAAGUGGGUGUUCAAAUUGAAAAGAGACGACAACAUGACAAGGUACAAGGCUCGUUUGGUUGUCAAAGGUUUUGGUCAAAAGAAAGGAGUUGACUUUGAUGAGAUUUUGACUUCCAUUCGAGUUAUCCUUGGUAUGGCAGCAAGCAUGGAUCUUGAGCUCGAGCAGUUAGAUGUUAAAACUGCAUUUCUCCACGGCAAUUUAGAAGAGGAGAUAUAUACAUGGAGCAACCCAAAGGCUUUGAAGUCAAAGGUAAAGAAAAUUUGGUGUGCAAGCUCAAGAAAAGUUUUUAUAUGGUCUUAAGCAGGCUCCGAGACAGUGGAAUAAGAAGUUCAACUCAUUCAUGGUGAGUAAUGGGUACAAGAGAACUCAUGCUGACUCUUGUGUCUAUAUCAAACAAUUUUCUGGAGGUACAUUCAUCAUCUUAUUGCUUUAUGUUGAUGACAUGUUGAUUGUCGGACAAGAUGCUUCUAUGAUUAAAAAGCUCAAAGAAGAGUUAUCUAAGUCCUUUGACAUGAAGGACUUAGGGCCAGCCAAGCAGAUUUUGGGCAUGGAGAUAAUUCGUGACAGAAAAUCCAAGAAGUUGUGGCUGUCACAAGAAAAAUAUGUUGAACGGGUGCUUGAAAGGUUCAACAUGAAAGCAGCCAAAUCGGUAAGCUCACCUUUAGCCAAUCAUAUCAAGUUGAGCAAAGAGUCGUGUCCAAAAACAUAUGAAGAAAAGGAGAAAAUGGCAGUUGUUCCCUACUCUUCAGCAGUAGGAAGUAUCAUGUAUGCAAUGGUGUGCACACGGCCAGAUAUUGCUCAUGCAGUAGGUGUGGUGAGCAGGUUUCUCUCUAAUCCAGGGAAAGACCAUUGGGAAGCUGUUAAGUGGAUUCUCAGAUAUUUGAAGGGGACUUCUAAGAUGUGCUUGUGCUUUGGCGGUUCCAAACCAAUCUUGGAAGGAUUUACAGAUGCUGACAUGGGAGGUGACCUGGAUGGCAGAAAAUCUACGUCUGGGUACUUGUUUACUUUUGCAGGGGGAGCCGUGUCUUGGCAAUCCAAGUUGCAAAAGUGUGUUGCUUUGUCUACAACCGAGGCUGAAUACAUAGCCGCUACAGAAGCAUGCAAGGAGUUGUUGUGGCUGAAGCGGUUUCUCCAAGAGUUGGGUUUUAAGCAAAGUGAUUAUGGCGUUUAUUGUGAUAGUCAGAGUGCUCUGGAUUUGAGCAAGAACACUGCAUACCAUUCACGCACCAAGCACAUUGAUAUUCGUUAUCACUGGAUUAGAGAUGCUAUUGAGAACAAGAUGCUACAGCUGAAGAAGAUUCAUACCGAUAAUAAUUCUUCAGACAUGUUGACAAAGGUGGUCACAAAAUCAAAGUUGGAAUUCUGCAUUAAGGCUGCUGGGAUGGACUCCAGGUAACUUGGAGUCAUGAUCGGAAUUCCUCCCUCAUGGACUGGAGGGGGAGAUUGUUGGUAUAUGGUCCAGCCCAUGAUCAAUGUUCUAGAUUAUUCUAGUAAGCAAGAGAGAUGGCUGGAGCAUGCUAGACAAUUCUAGCAUGUUAUUAAGUUGAUGGAAGAAGCUAGAGAGUACUAGCUUCCUUGGUUGCAAAUGGAAAGAUCUAGAAGCCACACUUUUGUGGCUAGUCUAGAUCUUUCUAUGCUAGAGGUUUGAAGAAUACACUAGAAACUAGUAGAAUGCCAAACCCUCACCUAUAAAUAUGGGUGUGAUGUUGUAGUGAACCAACAAAUCAAGAGAAAGAGUGAGUAGCAAAGGAUCAAGUCCAAAGCUAGAGUUCCACUCCAAGAGUGAGAGUGAGAGUGUUCCACUACACAUUGUGUGAGUGAAGUUUAGAGUGAUAGAAAGUGUGUGUUAUACUUUCUUGUAUCCAUCAAGCCUUGUCUUUGGCUUGGUAAGACUACUCUUGUUGUAUUCAUCUUUUUUCAUAUAGUGAAGAUUCCUUGUUUGGUGGACGUAGGCAUAAAUUGCCGAACCACAUAAAUUCUUGGCGUCCAUUUUCUACUUUACCUUGUGCAUUCUCUAUCUUGUAGUACCGACAUUCCUAACACCUUCCUAUGCCAAAUUUCUCAUGGGUCUUUGUUCACAUAAGCACAAGUUGAAUGGCAAAGAAAAGGUUUUUCUUACCAAGAAGUUGAGUGAUAUCUAUCUAUGGAAAAAUCCAUCAAAGCUUUAGGACCCUGGAAUUCUUACACUAGCUUGUGUCAUUGGGAGUCAUAAAUUCGAAGAAGUAUUGGUUGAUCAUGGAGCAAGCGUGAAUUUAAUGCCAUAUUCAGUUUAUGUGGAAUUGGGUCUUGGGGAACUGAAACGAAGCCCAAUUACAUUGGAAUUUGCCGAUGGAUCUGUAAAGAAGUCAUGUGGUGCUAGUGAAGAUAUGUUGAUGCAAAUUGACAAAUUUUAUUAUCUGAUGGACCUUAUUGUUCUUGAUACAAGGCCUAUGCGUUAUUCAUCUACUGAAAUUCUGAUUAUUCUUGGAUGUCCCUUUCUAGCUACUGCAAAGGCUAAUAUUCAAUGUGACACUGGAGUUUUAACUUUGUGUUUUGGGGAUAUGAAGGCUAAAUUCGACCUGUAUCCUGCUCAUGGCCUUCAAUCUGGUGUUGAUCAUGUUGAAAGUAUUCAUCCUGUAGUUCGUGCGUACAAGAACAACUAGAGCAAAGUAGUGUCUGGCUGAAGACAGUAAACUUAGUGCUAUUGGGAGGCAACCCAAUUUC